rnacentral:rRNA from 1 species
UUGCGGUUAAAAAGCUCGUAGUUGGAUUUCUGCCGAGGACGACCGGUCCGCCCUGUGGGUGAGCAUCUGGAUCGGCCUGGGCAUCUUCUUGGGGAACGUAGCUGCACUUGACUGUGUGGUGCGGAAUCCAGGACUUUUACCUUGAGGAAAUUAGAGUGUUUCAAGCAGGCGCGCGCCUUGAAUACAUUAGCAUGGAAUAAUAAGAUAAGACCUCGGUUCUAUUUUGUUGGUUUCUAGAGCUGAGGUAAUGAUUAAUAGGGAUAGUUGGGGGCAUCCGUAUUUAACUGUCAGAGGUGAAAUGCUUGGAUUUGUUAAAGACGGACUACUG